rnacentral:rRNA from 1 species
UACGUAGGGUGCAAGCGUUGUCCGGAAUUUAUUGGGCGUAAAGAGCUCGUAGGCGGUCUGUCGCGUCUGCUGUGAAAACUCAGGGCUUAACCCUGAGCUUGCAGUGGGUACGGGCAGACUAGAGUGCGGUAGGGGAGACUGGAAUUCCUGGUGUAGCGGUGAAAUGCGCAGAUAUCAGGAGGAACACCGGUGGCGAAGGCGGGUCUCUGGGCCGUAACUGACGCUGGAGGAAGCGAAAGCAUGGGGAGCGAACAGG